rnacentral:rRNA from 1 species
CCUACGGGAGGCAGCAGUGGGGAAUAUUGCACAAUGGGGGAAACCCUGAUGCAGCAACGCCGCGUGAAGGAAGACGGUUUUCGGAUUGUAAACUUCUUUUCUUAGUGAAGAAUAAUGACUGUAGCUAAGAAGCAAGCCACGACUAACUACGUGCCAGCAGCCGCAGUAAUACGUAGGUGGCGAGCGUUGUCCGGAAUUACGUGGUGUAAAGGGAGCGCAGGCGGGCAGCCAAGUCGGCUGUGAAAACAACGGGUCUAAAUUGUACACUGCAGUUGAUACUGGUUUUCUUGAGAGAAGUGGAGGUAGGCGGAAUUCCGAGUGUAGCGGUGAAAUGCGUAGAUAUUCGGAGGAACACCGGUGGCGAAGGCGGCCAACUGGGCUUUAACUGACGCUGAGGCUCGAAAGUGUGGGGAGCAAACAGGAUUAGAUACCCGAGUAGUC